CUGUCGUAGAGCCAUACACUGUCCCAGUUCAAAUGCCGCCAUUUCCAAAACAUAUAUUCUUGAACCUUGAUGAUAUUGCCGAGCUGCCAAACAGGACUUUAGUUGACAUUAUGGCUAUUGUAGUCCACUUGGAUACAAUCCAUCGCACAAUGUGGGGUACAUUCAGGAAGAUUGUUAUAAUGGAUGCUAGGUGGUCUUUACAUACCAUUAAAGUUUGGGGUGAUUUACUAAACAAAAAUGCACUCCGCUG